AUGAAGUUGGAAUCGCUAGUAAUCGCGCAUCAGCAUGGCGCGGUGAAUACGUUCCCGGGCCUUGUACACACCGCCCGUCACACCAUCCGAGUCGGAGGUACCCGAAGUCGCUAGUCUAACCGCAAGGGGGACGGUUCCGAAGGUACGUCUGGUGAGGGGGGUGAAGUCGUAACAAGGUAGCCGUACCGGAAGGUGCGGCUGGAUCACCUCCUUUCUAA
rnacentral:rRNA from 1 species